AUGGAUUGUGAGUGCUUACAGCCAGCGGAAGAUCAUGUAUCUGAAUUGGGGGCUUCAGUGACAUAUCAUGCACUCUCUGGCCUAAACAGUACAAGAGCAAUGCAGUUAGUUAGUUAUACUUCAAUUUAUUACAUCUGCACUGAAAUCUUAGCCACAAAUGGUAUCUUGACACUGAACAGCUACCAUAUAGCCAUUCAGCAUAUAACAGUCGAACAGAUAGACAGAUGCUCAAACUUCUUACAUUGUUUAACUGCAGCUAACACCAGCCGUUGCAACCUGUCCACUCUAUUUUCCGCUAUCGUAUGGCAUCGUUCAGUCAAAAGAGGCGUAACACUGGAAGCGCCAAGUUCCUACACAGAUGAAGUAUAA
rnacentral:rRNA from 1 species